rnacentral:rRNA from 1 species
UACGUAGGGUGCAAGCGUUGUCCGGAAUUAUUGGGCGUAAAGGGCGCGUAGGCGGCUUGGCAAGUGGAUGGUGAAAUCCCUCGGCUUAACCGAGGAACUGCCAUCCAGACUGUUUGGCUUGAGACCGGGAGAGGUGAGUGGAAUUCCCAGUGUAGCGGUGAAAUGCGUAGAUAUUGGGAAGAACACCUGAGGCGAAGGCGGGUUGCUGGGCCGACACUGACGCUGAGGCGCGAAAGCCAGGGGAGCGAACGGG